ACAGAGCCUGCCUGUUGGUCUCUACCCACAGGGGAUCCCCUGCUGCUCCACCAUCAGAUUUGGGACACCACCCCCCCCCCGGCCCCACCAGAGGGCAUCAGCUAUGCCUAGGGGACCACAACAGACUCGACAGGAUCCACCGGUUGGGCCCAAGGCAGGAGGAAGGGCGGCGCCCCCAAACUCCCAGGACGCCUGCAGCACCCCCCACGCGCCGCUCUCCGCCUCUGGGGAGCAUCCUGCCACCCCCCGACACACACACCCCGGCUACAUCCCGCCUUCUCACGCUUGGUCAGGCGCUCUGGAGAUGUCGGAGAUCCAGGCUUUUCCUAAAGAGUCAGGAUUGGAAGGCGGACUCCCACCGUUUGCUGAGCUCCACAUGACAACAGCAGACGACAGGCCGCACUGAUCCCACCUGGCUUACAGGUGCUGUCACACAGGUCCACCCACAGGGAUGUUUUUCAAUCAGAGUUAUACCAAGUGUCCCUGCCUCUCCUGCCUCCCUUCCCACUUCCUCCAUGUCUUCCUCUCUGCCACCCUGAGGCAGCAAGACCAGCCCCUCCUCCUCAGCCACUCAACAUGAAGACAACGAGGAUGAAGACUUCUAUGAUAAUCCACUUCCACUUAGUAAAUGCUUUCUCUUAUGAUAUUCUUAAUGACAUUUUAUUUUCCCAAGCUUAGUUUAUUGUAAGAAUACAGUAUAAAUACACAUACAAAGUACGUGUUAACUGAUUUUUUAAUGUUACCAGUAAGGCUUCCAGUUAACAGUAGGCUAUUUAUUAGUUAAGUUUGGAGGGAGCCUGAAGUUAUACAAGCUCUGACUGCGUGAGGGGUUGGCUCUCCAACCCUCACAUUGUUCAAGGCUCAACUGCACCUCUCCUACCUAUCUCCCCCACCCUCUGAUGUAGUAGGAUAAAUAUAAAAACACUUAGAAAUCCUUGAAAACCAGGAAAAAUGCCACCAACAGACUAGAACAUUGGAGAAUUUCUGGAAGAUAUAAAGCGGAGGAGAUCAGAUUCGUGGUGAAACGCAAUAGAGCCAAUGGCCUGCAGGUGGGAGACCAUUUCAAGUCUGGAAAUGGGGUAGGGUGGGGGCAGUGGAGAAGGAAUGAGUCAUGGAGCUUGGAUACGGUAAUCACACAAACGGCUACCCAGGUGGCUGAGGCAGUGUCCUGCCUGUCCCCAGGGUAAAGUCUGAGUGCAGCAUUCAGACUGAAGACAAAGAUGCACCGGGAGCCUCCAGAGCCAACACUGGCCCAAAGAGAGAAGCAGGGGCCCGCCCAGGUGACUGCCAGGCACUGUCAGCCACACUGACAGGGAGAGCGGCCCAGAUGAGAGGCCCAGGAAGGCACUCUGCCUUUGCAACGUCCUGGCCUGUCUCCAUGACCACAGGUGCCCAGUGGUGCCAGGGUUGCCAGACAGUGGUGGUUUAGUUGUGUGCAAGAACUACUCUGCACAGCAAGAAUGAUUGGUUGAGACUGACAGAUCGCAAACACACUGCAUUCAGGAACCCUUCACCCUCUCUUAGAAAUGGCUGAGGGUCUCAGCGGGCUUUCAUUCAUAUGAGUUUAUCUAUCAAUAUUUACGGUAGUAGAAGUUCAAGUGAAAAAUAAAUAAAUAUUCAUUUAUCUUAAAAUAAUAAUGGCAUGUUAACAUAAAUAACACUUAUACAUGCUGGGUGUGGUGGCUCACGCCUGUAAUCCCAGCACUUUGGGAGGCCGAGGCGGGCGAGUCACCUGAGGUCGGGAGUUUGAGACCAGCCUGACCAACAUGGUGAAACCCCAUCUUUACCAAAAAUACAAAAAAUUAGCCAGGUGUGGUGGUGCGUGGCUGUAAUCCCAGCUACUCAGGAGGCUGAGACAGGAGAACCGCUUGAACCCGGGAGGCAGAGGUUGCAGUGAGUUGAGAUGGUGCCACUGCAUUGCAGCCCGGGCAACAAGAGUGAAACUCUGUCUCAAAACAAAACAAACAAAACAAAAAAACUCCCCAAUGUCUGGCUUAAUAGCUGGAUUUUCUUUUUUGUUGUUGUAUUUUUUUAUUUUUAUGUAUUUAUGCAUUUAAUUUUUAUGUAUUCAUAUGUAUUUAAUUUUUUAAAUUUAUUUAUUGAGACAGAGUCUCACUCUGACACCCAGGCUGCAAUGCAGUGGCACAAUCUUGGCUCACUGCAACCUCUGCCUCCCAGUUCAAGCAAUCCUCCUGCCUCGGCCUCCCAAGUAGCUGGGAUUACAGGAAUGCACCACC
rnacentral:lncRNA from 10 species